AUUGAACGCUGGCGGCAUGCUUUACACAUGCAAGUCGAACGGCAGCACGGGUGCUUGCACCUGGUGGCGAGUGGCGGACGGGUGAGUAAUACAUCGGAACGUAUCCAGAAGAGGGGGAUAACGCAUCGAAAGAUGUGCUAAUACCGCAUAUUCUCUGAGGAGGAAAGCAGGGGAUCGAAAGACCUUGCGCUUUGGGAGCGGCCGAUGUCUGAUUAGCUAGUUGGUGGGGUAAAGGCCUACCAAGGCGACGAUCAGUAGUUGGUCUGAGAGGACGACCAGCCACACUGGGACUGAGACACGGCCCAGACUCCUACGGGAGGCAGCAGUGGGGAAUUUUGGACAAUGGGCGCAAGCCUGAUCCAGCAAUGCCGCGUGAGUGAAGAAGGCCUCGGUUGUAAGUACUCUUCUAGUCGUAGAAGAAAAAG
rnacentral:rRNA from 1 species